AUUUUAUGCACCAUGCAAAAAUGUGCGCAAAAAGGAAACACUGAGCAUAUGUAACCACUCCACAUUUGUUGAAAAAGUGCCCCCAAUCGAGUCAUUAGUAGUAUUUUAUCACGGGUGCAAUAUCCCCAUCAGUCAGUCGAGGAUUCUCCUUAAAGCAAGGCGUUUCAUUCAGCAGAAAAAAAUUAAGGAUGCGGUGGUGCGUCUUCCUCUCCAUAAUUUUCUUUGCUAUCGUCGCCCUCGCAAUUUCGGUCCAAGGUCAGUGUGGGCGGUGCAACACGAUCUGUGAAAAUAGAGCCUUUUGCAACAAGGGGACCUGUGCCGGAGAGGAUUUGAAGUUAUGUCGUUGCUCCGGCAUUUCGACGCGGUGUUGGAAAGGGACGUUUAAUCCGAAGUGAUUUUUAAUGAGAAAUGCAAUGGAAAUUUUUAAAUGGGAAUAAAACAGUAUUAUUUUUAUACAAGA